CAUUCCAAACUCCCCAGGAGUGAAGCAGCAGCCCAAUGACUGCAGAUGUGCACCAGAAGGCUCCUGUUUCCUGAAACUCACUCCUGCUCUGUUUUCCAGGUCUAUAAAGGAGAAUUUCAGCUACCUGACUUUCUGAAAGAAAAUCCCCAGACUGAGCAAGUGGAGUAGCUGAGGCUGGACCUUUCCACAGCAAGGGACGACUGCUGCCUUUUCUACAGAAGGGAGAUCUCUGGAACUGCUGUCUUCUGCUGGGAGAAGUGGGGUAUCCUAACCACCUGCCAGCCUCAUCCCUGAGGGUGGUGUCACACAGCCAGCCUCCUUUAGUGAUGGCUCUUGAGCCCCUGACAUGCACCACCCUCGAAAUGAGGAAUCCAGCAGGGAUAGAGUUCUGUUACAGCUCCUCUUGUGAAUGUCUUUUCUUACCAGAUUCUAGUCUUAGUUUCAAGAGCGGAAGACUUUAAAGAUGGCAUUCUGUUAACAAACUUGGCAGUCUCGUUCAGAAUAGGUACACGUUCCAGCGUUUUGUACAAUACCCGCGCCUGUUUAAAUGUAUUGAUGCGGAUUAUAGAAAUACCUUAAUUAUUUAAAUAAUUCAGUGCAUUGUUUCAGAGACGUUGGGAAAUUACUGUACACAUUUACAACCUAAUGACUUUUGUAUUUUAUUUUUCAAAAUAAAAGCUUAAAUGUGAAGCA